CCUACGGGGGGCAGCAGUGGGGAAUAUUGCGUAAUGGGCGAAAGCCUGACGCAGCGACGCCGCGUGAGGGAUGAAGGUCUUCGGAUCGUAAACCUCUGUCAGCAGGGAAGAACGGUCACUGUGCUAAUCAGCAGUGAAUUGACGGUACCUGCAAAGGAAGCACCGGCUAACUCCGUGCCAGCAGCCGCGGUAAUACGGAGGGUGCGAGCGUUAAUCGGAAUUACUGGGCGUAAAGCGCUCGUAGGCGGUAUGUCAAGUCAAGGGUGAAAGCCCCGCGCUCAACGUGGGAACUGCCUUUGAAACUGGCAAACUGGAGUGUGUGAGAGGAUAGUGGAAUUCCAGGUGUAGGAGUGAAAUCCGUAGAUAUCUGGAGGAACAUCAGUGGCGAAGGCGACUAUCUGGCACAUAACUGACGCUGAGGAGCGAAAGCGUGGGUAGCAAACAGGAUUAGAUACCCGGGUAGUC
rnacentral:rRNA from 1 species